UACGAAGGGGGCUAGCGUUGCUCGGAAUUACUGGGCGUAAAGCGCACGUAGGCGGCUUUCUAAGUCGGGGGUGAAAUCCUGGAGCUCAACUCCAGAACUGCCUUUGAUACUGGCGAGCUUGAGUCCGGGAGAGGUGAGUGGAACUGCGAGUGUAGAGGUGAAAUUCGUAGAUAUUCGCAAGAACACCAGUGGCGAAGGCGGCUCACUGGCCCGGUACUGACGCUGAGGUGCGAAAGCGUGGGGAGCGAACAGG
rnacentral:rRNA from 1 species